AUCUUAAAGGUUAGAGACAAGGAAGAGCGCAGUAGGCAGGCAGAAGGAGAAGAAUACCAUGAGACAAGGUUAGAGAGAUGGAGGACCGCGCAGCAGGCA